AGUGAACGCUGGCGGUAGGCCUAACACAUGCAAGUCGAACGGCAGCACAGUAAGAGCUUGCUCUUACGGGUGGCGAGUGGCGGACGGGUGAGGAAUACAUCGGAAUCUACUUUUUCGUGGGGGAUAACGUAGGGAAACUUACGCUAAUACCGCAUACGACCUACGGGUGAAAGCAGGGGAUCUUCGGACCUUGCGCGAUUGAAUGAGCCGAUGUCGGAUUAGCUAGUUGGCGGGGUAAAGGCCCACCAAGGCGACGAUCCGUAGCUGGUCUGAGAGGAUGAUCCGCCACACUGGAACUGAGACACGGUCCAGACUCCUACGGGAGGCAGCAGUAGGGAAUAUUGGACAAAGGGCGCAAGCCUGAUCCAGCCAUACCGCGUGGGUGAAGAAGGCCUUCGGGUUGUAAAGCCCUGUUGUUGGGAAAGAAAAACAGCAGAUUAAUACCCCGCUGUUCUGACGGUACCCAAAGAAUAAGCACCGGCUAACUUCGUG
rnacentral:rRNA from 1 species